rnacentral:ncRNA from 1 species
CCAAUUACUUAGGGGUGUCUAAUCAUUAGGCUGAGAAAUACCCUUAAACCUGAUCGGGAUAAUCCCCGCGUAGGAAAAGUAUCAUGCCAACAU